UGAAUGGAUGAGUUAAUACUGAUGGUCUCUUUACACAGCAGCCUCUACCAUCAGUGUGUGAAUGUGUAUGAAUGGAUGAGUUAAUACUGAUGGUCUCUUUACACAGCAGCCUCUACCAUCAGUGUGUGAAUGUGUAGGUGCCAGUUUGAUCUCAACAGAGGUGUAAAGAGUACUAAUAUAUUCUACUCAAGUAAAAGUUACUUUGAUAACAUUUUACUUAAGUGGAAGUAAAAGUACCAGUUUAAAAAUGUACUCAAAGUAAAAGUAAAAAGUAACUUGUUUAAAAUGUACUUUAAGUAAAAGUUACUUAGUUACUUUUUUUAACAACGCAUCUCUCGUGUGUCGUGAAAAAAGGACGAGAGGAUUUUAAUCUUAAAGUUUUUUUAAUUAAAGGCCGAUCUUUACAAAGAUUUAUCUUUUCAGAUCAACA